rnacentral:lncRNA from 1 species
GUUGCUUCUCAGAAGGUGGUACCUGGCCUCGGUGGGGACUCAUUAAAAUAUAGGUUAGCAGCUCUGGCAGCACCGUGAGACAGCCUUGGCCCAGACGCCAGGAUGGUCGUGGAGACCGUGGAAGGAGUCUUGGGAACUGAACAUCAUCACCACAGAGGCGAGAAGGAAGACAAUCGUGCUGGGGGCAAAGGCCCGUGCAACACCACUGGGACUCCCAGAAAGCCUCGGAAGGUGGGCAGAAUUUGCUAGGGUCUGGGGUCCCUGUUUCAGUAAAUGUGGGCCAGCGCUAGCUACUGACAUUUGAAUUGCUAUUGAGGUGAUUCCAUUGGUACCUACAGAUGUUUGUUUCUCUCCUAAGGUCCCUGUUUUCCUUUGUCUGGUUGGGCCUGUAGGGCUUUCACCCUGAGGUGAGCCAGAGGGCAAGACACAAGUGCGGCUUUGACCUUUUCCUCUCUGGGACUGUCUGUAAUUCUCCGGUGGUUUUAAACAGGGAGGUGGGGGUGUGUCCGGAAUGGAAACCACACGGGAGCCUUUGGAAUCAGCUCUGCAGGCCCACCGCCUGGGCUCCCAUCUCUGUGGACACGGGUGAGCUCCAGAGAGAGAAAGGGGCCUUUUGUUCUCCGCUGGGUCCAGGCCCAGCCACCUUGCCGUCUUGCCGUGCCUGAAUUCCACAGUGUCACAGGACUUGAGUGAAGCUGUCCUUGAUUUCUAGUAGCUGAGCUCUCUUGCCAGGCCCUCCAAUUCUGAGCUGUUAACUCACCACUCCUUUAUUUACAUAUUAGUUAGAUGAAGUACACCCACUCAGAUUGCGAAACACCAUUCAUUGUUUUUGGCCGGUUGCUCCUUAGGUGUAGUCAAGACGUGUCAUUCUGAGGGGUUCAAAAGUGUUUCACAGUAAUGUCAACUCCAUAGUUAUGGCCCCAAGUAAAAACCUUGACCUGAGAAAUGAGAAAAACUCCCCAAAGGUAAGUCUUCACAGGUAAUGACUUAACCAUCCGUCGUGAGUCCCAGGGCUGCAGAACAGAACACGUUUGUCCUUUAAAUGCUAUUGGGAAAGAGAAACCAGAAGAAAAUUGGAAAAAGCAGUUUUCCCAGGCUUCAGUCCUUGCAGGUUUGGCUUGGAUUCAGGAGCGGAAUCCUGGUUUUCCCCCCAAACCUCCCCAGUACUGGGUUAUGCAAAUCUUAGGUGUAGCAAGAACUGGGCAUGAAAUCAAUUGCAGUUCUGGAAUGUUUGUAGCAUACAUGCAACUUGGUAGGAUAUUCUCUCUCUCUUCUCCUAGGCCAUUUUUCUCCAAUUUCUCUGGAAAUGAGAGACAUGUGACCAUGGCUUUCAGACCUGCAGGUUGCACAACUCAAGGGAGCACCAUGACCUUAUGUGAAUGUUGUCUCCUAGAGUUGUGCAAAGCACUGACCCUGAUCCCUUUACAACUGCCAUUCAUACAACUGCCUGCAAAAAAUGGUGUUUGUGGCCAACUGGAUAUUCUAUUCUCGUAUUCUUUUCCUACCACCUGGUUCAGGUUAAACGAUGUUUUUAGCCUCAGUCUAUUUUUACCUUUUCCUGCUCAUCAUUCAACAUGGGACCUUUCAUCCCAUACCAAGGGUCGCGAUAUGCAAUCUGUCACAAGGGAGUUUGGGGGGGUGAAAAAGAAAAGGUUCUAAGUUGCUCCAAAGGAGCUGAAAAGGUGUGAGAAUUUUGUUCUAGAAAAGGUAUGAGAAUUGGCUUUGUGACAGAAAAGAGUACUUUAGCUCUCAGCUCUCAUGUCUGGUGUUGAGGGUUAAUACGCUGAGAGCGUGGCGUUCCUAGCAGGUGAUGAGAAAGCAGCGUGUCCCCUCACCAGCACCUCCCAAUCAAAGUAGGUUUUUCGUUCUUUUUGCAACAGGCCUUUACUUACAAAAGCAGGCGGUUCCCUUGGGAAGUAUGCAUCCAAUUAAUCCUCCAAAUAAAUACUUGGCUUCAACAGAGAAAAUAACCUCGCCGUAUUCAGCACAGACUUGAUGGCACCUGCCUCAGGCCCUUGAAUGAGCAGGACUGCUUUGCCCAUUGGGCACUGCAGCAGAGCGCCUAGGCCAGGGCCAAGAACACUUCAAGAGCAGAUUAAAAUGCCUGAGACUUGGGGAGAAAGAAAGAAAGAAAUGUUCUGCUUCCAAAAUAUGGAAAUUGUGAAAUCAGUAUUUUAAAAUGUUUAGUGACAUCGCUGCAAAUUAUACCAUAUGUCAACUUCAUCAAAGAUUAAAUUUGAUCUUCAUAAGCAUCUCAUUACAAUUAAAAACAAUUUGUGGAUUAGAUUUUCUUACUGAAAAUUUCUCAUGGGUCCCCAACGAUUGCUGAGAAAUCAUAACCAAGCGUGAAUCAGAGGAGUUGAUUGUAGAAAAUAAUUUUAAAAGCCAAGUUAGAAAAUGCCUUUCAAAUGUUUUGGCCCCAAAUUCUGGUGGAUACAAAUAUUUUUGAUAACGAGUGGGCGGAGCUGCCUAGGAUUUAAGAGGCUCGCCAGGCGGCCCUGUGGUUGGGUCAUUUCACCUCCCUGGGAUAUUCUUUAAUUGUCUCUAUAAUCCAUGUUCUUUCUCUGACUUAAAUUUUUGAAGGAAACUUCCCUGCGAGAAGUUUUCCUCGUCCUGCUCCCCUGGUCUCCUUGACUAUCUCUUUAGCAAUCACCCACAGGAGGACCUCGUUUUUGCUUGUGUUACAGACAACUUAUAUUCCUUCAUGUCUAUUUUGAGGGCUUUCUUAAAUCUAUUUUAUGAAUUCCUGUUAUAUUUCUACUAAAGUGAGAGCCUUGGAAGGGAAAGCAUCUAUUCAUUCAUUCAUUUAUUCAAUGAAGCUCCCAUGUGUUGGGUGCUUGGGAUACAAAGUUGAGUACGGCACAGUAUCUGGCCGCUUCCUUCAAGACAUUCACAGUCUAGGAAGGAAGAAAGAUAGGACAGCAAAUAAAUUAUAGCACAGCUGCCUCCUGGAGGUUUAGUGCCUGUUGCUCAGACUGGCACUGGGUUCAAUACAUUUUUAUUUAUUUAAUAAGCAUUUUCUCUGUGUCAGGUACUAUUCUCAAUACAGACACUGUUUAACACUUUUGCAAAUAGUAAUCCAUUUAAUCCUCAAACCAGUCCCAUGAAGCAUUAUAAUUAUCCCCAUUUUACAAAUGAGGACAUCGAAGCACAGAUAAGUUAAUUCGCUCAAGAUCAGUCACACAGCAAAUAAGUAGCAGGGCCAGGAUUUGACCCCAGACAGCUUUGCUCCAGCCAUGCCACACCACAAGCAUCCAGGGUAUGAACUGAACCAUAUGACCAGCGCCAGAGGGCUUCGUAGAAAAGGCUGCAUAACUCGUUAUGCUCAGGUAGGAUGGAGCAGGCAAGGAGGUCUUCACAAAGCAGAUGAUAUUUGAAUUGUUCUGUAUGAAAGAGGAAUUUGUCAACAGGUAAAUUUAGACUACAGAAUUUAAAAAUGUGUUCCAAAAAUAGCCUAUGCCAUAGUCUAUAUGUAUAAAAUAAACAGAUAUGAUGAUUCGUACUGGGAAAUGCAAAUAGUUUAUACUGCUGGAACGGAAUGUGUUUGGAGAGGAUUUAUAGAUACAGGGCUUGAAAGGGAAGCAAGGAAAGCAAACUUGCUGGUCAUUUGGAGGCAUUUGGCUUUCGGUUAGUUUUGACUUUGGUCAGUAAAAUGUUGAUGCCCGCCCCCCCCCCCCCCCCUUGAAAACCACAAAAGAGAAGCUUGGUCAAUUCAAGUAUACAAAAGAAAUGUUUCUAAUAUGUGCGGAAGCAAAUGACACAAAGCCAAAAUUCGAACAACAAACCAGGAUAAAAUAGUUGCACUGCACAGCAGAGUCCAUUUUUCUUAAUGUACUAAGUGUGUUCACAAUUCAACAAGGGAACUACGUGUGGUGACAGAUGUUAACUAGACUUAUUGUGGUGAUCAUUUCGCAAUAUGUACAAACAUCAAAUCAUUAUGUUGUACACCUGAAACUAAUAUAAUGUUAUAUGUCAAUUACAGCUCAAUAAAAAAAUUAAGGGCAAAAAAAAGGCCAACAAAUCAAGAGAGACAAAGGACAUGAUUUAAAGAAAAGAUAUCUAAACAAUUUUAAUGGUGGUCUGCCUACUUAUAAGAGAAAUGCAAAUAAAAACACGGGUAAGACAGAAUUGUCACCAUUGGUUUGGCAAAGAUCUAAAGGUUUGGCAACACGCCGGCCCGACCAGGGUUUGGGGACACAGCCACUCUCAUAGGUGCCUGUAGGAGAGUAGGUUGGGACAAUCUCUGUGAGGGCAGUUAGACAAUAUCUAUCAAAAUUACACAUGUGCAUAUUUUUUAAUCUGACAAUUCCACUCCUAGGAAUUUAUUCUGCAGGUGUGUUUAUACAUGGAUAUGAUGUUGUGCCUCCAAGGAUACGUAUGUUACAACAUUGUUUGUAACAGCAAAAGACUGGGAGAAAAAAACCUAAAUGUCCUUCACUGUGGAACUGGUUAAUUCCAUUACGGCGCAUCCAUACCAUAAAAUAAUUUGAUGUCUUUGAAAAGAACAAAUCUGUCUUGUAUGUAGCAAUGCGGCAGAAUCUCCAACAUACAGCGAAAAAAGCAAGGUACAGGACAGUGGGUGAGGUUUACUACCAUCAAUAUGUGCGACAUAUGGGCUUGAAGAUGCAUGGAACACUUGGGAAGGAUCGUCAGAAGUUGAUAACACUGGUUGCCCC